rnacentral:rRNA from 1 species
AACGAACGCUGGCGGCAGGCUUAACACAUGCAAGUCGAGCGCCCCGCAAGGGGAGCGGCAGACGGGUGAGUAACGCGUGGGAAUCUACCCAUCUCUACGGAAUAACGCAUGGAAACAUGUGCUAAUACCGUAUACGUCCUUCGGGAGAAAGAUUUAUCGGAGAUGGAUGAGCCCGCGUUGGAUUAGCUAGUUGGUGGGGUAAAGGCCUACCAAGGCGACGAUCCAUAGCUGGUCUGAGAGGAUGAUCAGCCACACUGGGACUGAGACACGGCCCAGACUCCUACGGGAGGCAGCAGUGGGGAAUAUUGGACGAUGGGCGCAAGCCUGAUCCAGCCAUGCCGCGUGAGUGAUGAAGGCCCUAGGGUUGUAAAGCUCUUUCACCGGUGAAGAUAAUGACGGUAACCGGAGAAGAAGCCCCGGCUAACUUCGUGCCAGCCGCCGCGGUAAUAC